UACGUAGGGGGCGAGCGUUGUCCGGAUUUAUUGGGCGUAAAGAGCGUGUAGGCGGUUCGGUAAGUCUGUCGUGAAAUCCUGAGGCUCAACCUCGGGCGUGCGAUGGAUACUGCCGGGCUAGAGGAUGGUAGAGGCGAGUGGAAUUCCCGGUGUAGCGGUGAAAUGCGCAGAUAUCAGGAGGAACACCAAUUGCGAAGGCAGCUCGCUGGGACGUUACUGACGCUGAGACGCGAAAGCGUGGGGAGCAAACAGG
rnacentral:rRNA from 1 species